CGCAACUUCAUUGUCCGACUGCAACUGAAUGCACCAAUGACGUUAGUUUGAUUUCUGGAUUGUAUUUCGUUUGGAUUUGAAGAAGCUUUGAAGACGUUUCCUGAUGCCGGAGGAGAAGACGAGCAGCUUUGUACCUUUGCGAGUGAAAGUAGCAGUUCCUCCUGAAGGUCAGAGAUUGCAGCAUCUGAGGGCCUCUUCAAAAGAAGAUGUAGUUGAUGAAGGCGUUCUGGAGCAGGACCAGAAAGACCACGACCAAGCAGCCUUGAGAUCUUAGGCAGCGUCUCCCUCAGGUCCCUCUCUAUCUCCCCACACAUCCACCAACCACUGGAACACAUCUCCAAAGUUCUGCUGGACCAGCUCAGCUUCCCCUCAGAAGAAGUGCUGCCACCUGCCAGAUGAAGGAUCCUUUUGAGAGGCAGCUGGCAUCGUGAUUGGACUGUACUUUGGUCUGUUCCAAUCCAGCUUCAGCUCCAGAGACGGCAGGCGGGACGAGUCAACGGAGGCCUGAUGGACGAAGGCAUGAAGCUGAGUACAAUCUAGAAAACAACAGAGGAGGAGUGCAGCAGCCCAGAGCCAGAACAAACAGAGUAGCAUCGUAUGUCUCUUAGAAAACAUCAUAGUAUAACCUUUGGUAUGAAAAAACACCAUCAUAUACAUCGUAGAUUGUACAAAUAAGUCAAAGGAAAGAGACAUACAUUGUAGAAUUGUAGUAAUUGUGGGCUGACUGAUUUACUGAUGAUCAGUAUUAUAUUUUUUACUGGUUUAUGGUAAUAAAUACAUUUAAGAAUGGUG